CGAAUUAAGUCUAAGGGACAUUAUUAUUUACAUUAAUAAUUAGUUAGUGCGAUUCUUUCUAAUUCGA
rnacentral:tRNA from 1 species